UGUCCUUUGAAAGCUGGCACAGAGCCAAAAUGUACCCGUUUGCUCCUGGAUCCAAGUAUAUCAGCAUUCUUGCAAUUCAAGCACGAUAGCACUCCAGAAGCCCCACACAAAGCCUCAUGCAGCUGCCUGGAGCCAUGCUGAGAGCCUGGAUCUCAUUGCCAUCUGGGGAGAAGAUUUAGUGCAGGAAGCUCUUUUGGCCAGCCACCAGAAUAAAGACCUUUUUGUGAACAUUUCAAAGCAGAUGUCCAUUGGGAUGUCAGCCAGUGCUGUAACAAGCAAAUCUAGGGGAAAAAUAUUGAAUUGAGGGGCAAAAGGAGGCAAUCCAGCAAGGGAUAUGUGACCUGUCCAUUUUUAUCAUGACCCGAACAAGCUCCUAGACAAUUAUAGAGCAACUGUUUCCAGACAUGGGGUGCACCCUGCUGGCCGCACUCUCCCUCCCAUCCCCACUGAGGAUGAUUGGCAACACCCAUCAGAGGAUAAGCAGGCAGAUGCUGGUGAGGAGCUUUUCUAUGAGAGCCAGGAUCUUUGUAGGAUUCAAGUCCCUGAUGCUGGCCAGCUGCAAAGCCAGCCACAGUCCUGCCCUACUUACACAGAUCACAAUUCCUGCCCUAGAUUGGCCAAGCCCAAGUCCCAGCCAAGAACUCAGCAUGGGAUCAAAGAAGCAGAUCCCUCAGAAGGAACUUCAGCAUACUGAUUUUUGCUGCUGGUGGCAAAAUAAUGGAAGAAAUGGGACUUGCUGUUAGACUGAGCGAACAAAUGGGUGUGUGAAUGCGCUGGAGAUAGAAGGUGACACCCCCGGACAGACUGACAUCAGCAUAGCCUAGCCUGUUUGAUCAUUCAUCAAGGGUCAUCAGCUAUUCAAUGAACCCAUUGAAAAAGCCAGGAACUACACCUUCUGAGUCAGCAAGCCAUGUAGAGGCAUGCCUGUGGACAGAGAACUCUAAGGCUUUUCUGUGCCAUGUGCCGUGAAGCUUGUGUUUGGGACAAGCCACAUGACAGAAGACUAUACAAGGCAGCUGCAUCAUCUCCAUUUUGUCUUCAUUCCUGCUUCUUACCUCUGGAGUAACUUUUCCACAAAUGAAGUUCUGAACAAAGGACUAAAUGACCAAUCCAAGCUGUGGAUUGUUCCAGAGGGACUUUCUAGCCAGCAAACUCACCAAUACUGCUAAGAACCUGAUAUAUAGACUUUGAAGUCUCUGUAUGUAUCUGAGUGCUUUAUCAUUUAACAACUCUCUUCUUGUUCUUUUUUUUCCUUUAUAAUAAACCUUUAGUUUUAGACACUAAAGGAUUGGCUGGUAGCAUCGUAUUUUGGGUAAGAUGCAAAUCUACACUGCUCUGGUAACGUGGCUGGCCCUUUGGGGUCAGAAGAACAUUUUACAUAGUGAGCAGAGUUUUUAAAAUAACUUCUCACUGUACUGGACCUAGGUGCUGAUUGGGAGCCAGAGAAAGGAAUGCAAUAAAGGGGGCUGAGUGAUUUAUUUUUUAGCUUCUUGAUAACCAGUGUGGGGGAUCAGGAGCACAGUUUGUGAUCGGUUGGUGAGUCUAACUUCAGGUCAAUCGCCAGUUUAGGAAGAAUCUGCUCUCCUUUUGCAGCCUACCAUGACCUUGGCAUUUUCAGUAAGGGCUACCCCAGGCACACCGGGUCACAACCCCUUUUGGGUUUAGCGAGCAUGACUCCUUUAAAACCUUGGCCUGAGGGAGAGAAAGUGCUGAUUGUUCCAGGAAGAGG